AUGUCAGUGGGGACGCGGUG
rnacentral:misc_RNA from 1 species